GCACCUUCAGUCCACUCCAGUAAAGCCGUUGGUGUUCUUUUGGACAAAACCCCAGUACAUGCCAAGCACUAUGCCAGAUCCUGGUUCUCGGGAGCUUACAUUCUAGAAGUGGAGAGAGGCAAGUAACAGUUAAACAUACAAGUGAACAAGGACCAGGAAGCCUGGGACUUGGUGGGAACCUGACAAAUCGGAACCUGACGACCGGAACUCCACCACCGGAACUCCACCACGGGAACUCUUUCAGAAGCGAGGGGUCCAUUGGUUAAAAAGAUCCAGGACUAACAUCCACCUCAGCAUACCUUACCAUAAAUGGUCAGCUUCGAAGCCCUCCAAUCAGACUCUGACAAGCCAACAUUCCUAAAUCCUUUCCCUUGCCCUCUGAUCCCUAAAACUUGCUGCAGACCCCAAACUGGGGAGACAGUUUGGGACCCUGUUCUCCUUGCUGUCUGGCUUUGCAAUAAAGCCUUUUUUUUCUCAAGCGC
rnacentral:lncRNA from 10 species